rnacentral:rRNA from 1 species
GACGAACGCUGGCGGCGUGCCUAAUACAUGCAAGUUGAGCGAUGAAGAUUGGUGCUUGCACCCAUUUGAAGAGCAGCGAACGGGUGAGUAACGCGUGGGGAAUCUGCCUUUGAGCGGGGGACAACAUUUGGAAACGAAUGCUAAUACCGCAUAACAACUUUAAACAUAAGUUUUAAGUUUGAAAGAUGCAAUUGCAUCACUCAAAGAUGAUCCCGCGUUGUAUUAGCUAGUUGGUGAGGUAAAGGCUCACCAAGGCGAUGAUACAUAGCCGACCUGAGAGGGUGAUCGGCCACAUUGGGACUGAGACACGGCCCAAACUCCUACGGGAGGCAGCAGUAGGGAAUCUUCGGCAAUGGACGAAAGUCUGGCCGAGCAACGCCGCGUGAGUGAAGAAGGUUGUCGGAUCGUAAAACUCUGUUGGUAGAGAAGAACGUUGGUGAGAGUGGAAAGCUCAUCAAGUGACGGUAACUACCCAGAAAGGGACGGCUAACUACGUG